rnacentral:lncRNA from 1 species
GGACAUCGGCCCCUUGCCUACGCAGGGCCGCCGCGAGGAUUUUCGGAGGGUCCGCCGCCGGGUCUGGGGAACCCAGCCUUCCAUGCCAAUCUACCGCUAGCUGGAGCUGCCCCAGCCCCGCUGGUCAGGGACCCUGGGUGAGGGCCAGCUUUCCGUUUUCUUUAGAAGAUGCUGUUCAAAAAUCUGCUCAGGUGAAUCUCGACGCCAAAGUGGCACCUUCACUACUGACUUCUCUCCCAGUGACUCUUUUGUCAGCUGUCGUGUCGCUGGAUUUUCACUUUAGGACCUGAACGCAGAACUUACUUACUUCCUACUGUAGAUGGCACUUUUCUCUGAGGACUCAUGCCUCACUCAUUUCUGGAACAAUUUAUGCCGAGGAUCAAGACCAUCUCUCCAGGGCUGUUUCUUUGCCUGAAGAUAAGAGGACACAAGUGGGUGACCUUCACAUUUUUUUCUCUAUGGAAUUGCCUGGUGUAGACAGAAAAACCCAACUGCAAAAACCUAACAAAGCACACCCAGUCUUGGAGAAUUGAGCAAUGAUGCCAGCUGGCGCACAGUUGAGCCUGCAUCAGCAUCGAUGCCAGUGGCACCACAGUGGGUCUCCGUCUUGCUAACGUGCCUCAUACAGGCGUUCAACGUGUGUGCCGACAAAGGAGAGCUGACAGUCAUCCUCCCAGACAGUCAGUGUGCUACCACAGUGACCAAAAGCAAAUCAAGAGAUUCCCAACUGCCAGUGAUAAGUAAAGAUGGCCAUGGAUUCCUGCUGGUGGAACCAAGAGAUCCUAACUGCCAGUGAUAAUAAGCGCUCAGUCAGUGCAUUACCACAGUGACCAAAAACAAACCAAGAGAUAUCAGUAAGGACGGCCAUGGCUUCCUGCCGGUGGUUUCGGAUGAAUGCUUUGGGCCAGAACACUUUGGGUUCUAAACACAAUCAAACACUAAACUCACUCUCUUGGAGAUGCUUAGGAAAGACAUGCAGCAGCUGCCAGCCCUGAUGUGAAGGAUAAGAGCUAUAACUGGAUACUUGGUUAAAACUUUAACUUCAUGUUCACAAAACUCCUACCUCCUAUUUAUAUGUCUGAAUGGAUUUUUCAUACCUCUGACAUUCAUGUGACCUUUUCCAAGACGAAUGGCCAGUACCCGUCUUGUCUUUGAACACACCUCUUCCUGUAAAUCUAACCACUAACAUAACUUCCAUAACAAAUUUACUUUUCUU